rnacentral:rRNA from 1 species
UGACGGUACCUGACUAGGAAGCUCCGGCUAACUACGUGCCAGCAGCCGCGGUAAUACGUAGGGGGCAAGCGUUAUUCGGAUUUACUGGGUGUAAAGGGAGCGUAGGCGGCAGUGCAAGUCUGAAGUGAAAGGUGGGGGCUCAACCCCCGGACUGCUUUGGAAACUGUGCUUCUGGAGUGCAGGAGAGGCAAGUGGAAUUCCUAGUGUAGCGGUGAAAUGCGUAGAUAUUAGGAGGAACACCAGUGGCGAAGGCGGCUUUCUGGACUGUACCUGACGUUGAGGCUCGAAAGCGUGGGGAGCAAACAGAAGUAGAUACCCUGGUAGUCCACGCCGUAAACGAUGAUCACCAGGUGUCGGUGGGUAUGGACCCAUCGGUGCCGCAGCAAACGCAGUAAGUGAUCCACCUGGGGAGUACGUUCGCAAGAAUGAAACUCAAAGGGAUUGGCGGGGACCCGCACAAGCGGUGGAGCAUGUGGUUUAAUUCGAAGCCACACGAAGAACCUUACCAAGUCUUGACAUCCCGUUGACGAGCGAGUAACGUCACUUUCCCUUCGGGGCAAUGGAGACAGGUGGUGCAUGGUUGUCGUCAGCUCGUGUCGUGAGACGUUGGGUUAAGUCCCGCAACGAGCGCAACCCCUAUUCUUAGUAGCCACCGAGUAAAGUCGGGCACUCUAAGGAGUCUGCCGGGGGCAACCCGGAGGAAGGUGGGGAUGACGUCAAAUCAUCAUGCCCCUUAUGAUUUGGGUUACACACGUGCUACAAUGGCGUAAACAAAGGGAAGCGAGCCUGUGAAGGUAAGCGAAACUCAGAAAUAACGUCUCAGUUCGCAUUGUAGUCUGCACCUCGAAUACAUGAAGCUGGAAUCGCUAGUAAUCGCGGAUCAGAAUGCCGCGGUGAAUACGUUCCCGGCUCUUGCACUCACCGCCCGUCA